UGCCCCUUCCUAAGUUUUGACAUGGCAUUGUGAUGCAAGCUACAGCCUACUUCCUGUCUCUUCCAGUAAAUAAUCUGGUUAAAAUACUUUUCUUCACCUUUGGCAAACACCAGGCUGACAUUUAUUGUUCGUCAGGAAAGAGAUUGUCGUGGCAAUCCCAGUCGACGGAGAACUCACUGGACUGAUUUGUCCAUGAGUCAUCAUUUCUUCAGUCUGGAUUAACGCACAGAGCCCAUUCAGUACCACACCUCUCACAGACUUUUAUUUCAUCAUAGUGCAGUAGUUCAAAUUAGUAGAAGUAAAUUGUUUAUGUUCUUGAGUUAAAUGAAGAUCUUAACUUUCACAAAGAUAUGAGAUAUUGCGCCUUCAUUUCAUUGACAACAUUGGCAACUGGCAACGAGCAAAGCAAUGAGCAGCGAGAAAAGUCUGCCACACAUGAACUAAAGCUAAUUAAAUAACUACACACACUUUUUUUAACACACUUUGUUUUUUGCAUUCAGCAAAUUAAGUAUUUGUCUGGAGCACAACACGUUUGACAAAUGGCUCCACCCAAUAAUACAAAAUAGAGGUUUAUGAUCAACUACAAAUAAUGCAGGAGUUCUGGGUGGUGAAAUCACAGAUUCUGCCCCCAAAUCAAGCCAAGACAAAUAAAUGGUCUGUCUUCAGAGAAUAGGGUAGAACAGGAGCCCAUUUGACGGGCUUUCCUAUAAUUGUACUGUUUGUACAAUGAUCUUUGUGUGUGUGCAGUGGUCUGGUGUAUCUGCUGUACUCAGUGCAGUCAGUCAGCAGUAAGUGGCAUUUCCCUUGCUUUGUAUGAAACACUAAAUUCCCCUUACUUCUGGAUAUCAGUCACAGAGUAGGCCAGGAGGACUAGACUGUGGUUCCAUGACUCAACUAAUCAUUUCCAACCUCUUCUGCAUCUUUGUCUGACUUUAUAACUACUGCGGCCAAGUUCAUGUUAACAGCAAGGGAGUCAAUUCCUGGUUAGUACUCCAAAAAGAUUUUUUUUAAAUAUGACACAAGAUGAAGUUACAAAGAAUACCAUACUGCUGCUCCUGGGAAACAGAAUCCAUGAUGACACAGGGGAAGAAGUGGUUUGUGUAUGACACACUUGUGAUAGUAUUGUGCAGACUGUUCUUCCUUGUGGUGUGCCACUUCCACAUGAAGAUACAGUUAGACGUAAAGGACACAUGAUCUGGAGUAAAGUUCUUGUGCAUGUUGUGUAAAUGGGUGGUGGGGUGGGGGGGGGUUGGGUAACAAACACAAAUUCUUUCUCAGUGGGAGUCGUGUGAUGUGGAACUCCACACUUCAUCAGAAUCUUCUCGUGUGAACGUGUCCAUCACAGGGGUCACUAGUGGGACAUAUGCAAUCAGGCAGCCACUGUCAUUGUGAUUUGUUAAAUCUCUGUGUAAGGAUUUCUUACAGUAUGUACUAAAUUCAUACUGAAUGAUUUAAGUGUCUGUGUGAGUGAGUUGAUAUAUAGUGUAACCAAAUACAGUAUACCUAUCGCUGAGCAUUUUUUUUGUUUUGUUCUCUCUUUUCAAACAGUGGAUUUUUUGCUGUAUUUUGGAGGGGGGGAGGGGGGUGUUGAUUUCCUGUGGAUGACAAAGUAACUUCAAUACAACAGCAAGGAUUUCCAUUCCAGGAGCAGUUGAUAUGACAAGAGAGAACUGUGCCCUGGAGAUCUUAAACAGCAGGUCCCUCUGGUUGUGUCUGGAGAAGGUCGAGGGACAGACUGGGGAGAGAAGCAAGGUCUUCUGGGUAAAAUGGGUAGGUGUGGAUGUCACUGAACUCACAUCCGUGACCCUCGCUCCUGGAGAAUCUGCAAGAGCAGAAAGCACCGUGUGUUAUGAACGCGUAAAUCAACCUCAUCAAUUAUAUCAAUUCAUCCU
ensembl:lncRNA